UCUGUGGGGCUCUAUGGGGUUUCUAUGGGGCUUUAUGGGGUCUCUGUGGGUCUCUAUGGGGCUUCUAUGGGUCUCUUUAGGGUUUGUAUGGGGCUCUAGGGGGUUUCUGUGGGUCUCUGUGUGGUCUCUGGAGCUCUGUGGGUCUCUAUGGGGUUUCUAUGGGGCUCUGGGGGAUUCUAUGGGGUCUCUAGGUCUCUAUGGGGCUCUAUGGAGUUUCUGUGGGGCUUUAUGGGGUCUCUGUGGGUUUCUCUGGGGCUCUAUGGGGCUUCUAUGAGGCUCCGUGGGUCUCUAUGGGGUUUCUAUGGGGCUCUGUGGGUCUCUCUGGAGUUUCUGUGGGGCUCUGGGGGUCUCUAUGAGGUUUCUAUGGGGCUCUAUGGGGCUUCUGUGGGUCUCUAUGGGGUCUCUAUGGGUCUUUCUGGGGCUCUGUGGGUCUUUAUGGGGUUUCUAUGGGGCUCUGUGGGUCUCUGUGAGGUCUCUAUGGGUCUCUAUGGGGUCUCUAUGGGGUUUCUGCUGGGCUCUGUGGGUCUCUCUGGAGUUUCUAUGGGGCUCUGUGGGGCUUCUGUGGGGCUCUAUGGGGUCUCUAUGGGUCUCUAUGGGGCUCUAUGGGGUCUCUAUGGGGCUUCUAUGGGGCUCUGUGGGUCUCUAUGGGGUUUCUAUGAGGCUCUGUGGGUCUCUAUGGGGUUUCUAUGGGGCUUUAUGGGGUUUCUGUGGGGCUCUAUGGGGUCUCUAUGGGGCUUCUGUGGGUCUCUGGGGUUUCUAUGAGGCUCUGUGGGUCUCUAUGGGGUCUCUAUGGGGCUUCUAUGGGGCUCUGUGGGUCUCUAUGGGGCUUCUAUGGGGCUCUAUGGGGUUUCUAUGGGGCUCUGUGGGGCUUCUGUGGGUCUCUAUGGGGCUCUGUGGGUCUCUAUGGGGUUUGUAUGGGGUCUCUGGGGCUCUAUGGGAUUUAUGGCGCUCUAUGGGGUCUCUGUGGGUCCCUAUGGGUCUGGCUGUGCUCGGUUGGUUUCUAUGGGGCGCCCCACAUCCCCCCCCCCCCUUUUAGAGCCCCGCCCCCGAAGCGUUCCCUCCCGGAAGCGGUGGCGGCCGCGCGGCUGCGGGCGUUGGGGCUGCACCACGACCACCGAUAUGGCGGAAAUGGGCUGCCCCAGGUCCCCCACCCCCAGACGUCGGCGAUGUCACCCUGAGCCCCCCCCAUGCUCUGCCCCACGGCGCUAUGGGGCGCCCCACAACCGCCGCCAUUGAACUGAAGCUGAAAGGAGCCCCCCCCCCCCGACCCCCCCCAGCCCCACAUUUGGGGACCCUGAGCCCCACAGAUGCCACGUGUGGGGCUGGAGGGGUGGGGAAGGGAAAUGUGUGGGGCAGACCCUGAUGUGUGGGGCUGCAGCUGUGCUCUUUUUGCCCCUAAAUUGCUGUUUUUCACCCCAAAAUAAAGGAUAAAUGGGUUUGAGAGAUGUGGGGCAGAAGAUGGGGGGGACUGGGGGGAGG
ensembl:lncRNA